UCGCUGUGAUGAUUUUCUUCCUUCCAUUCGCAGUUUCCUCCAGAGGUCUAAAGACCAAAGAUGGUUCAUAUCUUCCUUGGAUGUCUGAGCGA
ensembl:snoRNA SNORD14 Small nucleolar RNA SNORD14